rnacentral:rRNA from 1 species
AUUGAACGCUGGCGGCAUGCCUUACACAUGCAAGUCGAACGGUAACAGGUCUUCGGAUGCUGACGAGUGGCGAACGGGUGAGUAAUACAUCGGAACGUGCCUAGUAGUGGGGGAUAACUACUCGAAAGAGAGGCUAAUACCGCAUGAGAUCUACGGAUGAAAGCAGGGGAUCGCAAGACCUUGUGCUACUAGAGCGGCCGAUGGCAGAUUAGGUAGUUGGUGGGAUAAAAGCUUACCAAGCCGACGAUCUGUAGCUGGUCUGAGUGGACGAUCAGCCACACUGGGACUGAGGCACGGCCCAGACUCCUACGGGAGGCAGCAGUGGGGAAUUUUGGACAAUGGGCGCAAGCCUGAUCCAGCAAUGCCGCGCGCAGGAUGAAGGCCUUCGGGUUGUAAACUGCUUUUGUACGGAACGAAAAGCCCUGGGUUAAUACCCUGGGGUCAUGACGGUACCGUAAGAAUAAGCCCGGCUAACUACGUGCCAGCAGCCGCGGUAA